AGAAGUUUUCGUUUGCCCAGAACCCUCCUCCUGCUCAGAGGUAAACCUCCAGGUCUUCAUGCAAAUGAGGCCCCGUAGGGGACUAGUGCCCUCUCCCUUGGCAGCCAGGCACAAGAGCAAUCCAGUAUCGUGGGCCUGCUAGAGAAUGAAGCAAUAAAGGACACAAUUAUUUCCUCCGGGAAAGGAGAAAAGCUAGAGCUUCCUGAUUUUUUGGUAGGGGCUCGGGGUGGCUUAUCUGUCCGUCAGCCCCUGCGCAAAAACGGAGCAUCCUUCCUCUGGGGCCUCCUAACUGCCACAUCCACUCUCGUCCCAACUCGGAAAACUUAAAGCAGCAGCCUGGCGCCAGGGGGAAAGACGGGCACGCUCCAAGGGGCGAACCGUGAUUACUUUGAAUUGCUAGACUUCGAGACGGAGAGAAGGUAUGGUGAGAUCCUGCCUUGGCCGUCUGGCUCUCCCAAAGUCGCACCUCCAGCAGCGCGAUCGCCCCGAGGAGAGACGGAGGCGCCUGCGGGUGUAGUAAGAGGAGACGCGCUGGAUCUCGAAGGGAGGGCAUGUGGGGCGUGGAGGCACAUGUAAAGCCCACUUUUCCCCCUCAAGCACUUUGCCGUUUUCGAGGUUCGAGCCUGGACGAUAUGCCGCUAGCCUUCCUCAUCCCUGGCGGUUUCCGUGAAGUUAAACUGAUAAACUCAGAAACAGGACUGCACCUGGAAAGUGCUGCAAUCAAGUCUGCCCCUAUCCCAUCCCACCUGGUUGUUCCCAACCUGCCCAGACCUGCCAUAAGCCGCUGAGUCCCAAAUGAUGACAACAUUCUUCCAUGCUCCAAUAGUUCUAAGAUUAGAACUAUUUUGCAAAUGCCUUUUCUAAUUCCUCUGAAGCUUUUUGUUUCUAGUUUGCGCCUUUUACCCUGUCCUAGAACUCUUCAUUUCAUUAUGCUGGGGGUGGAAGUGCCCUUCAAAUGCUUUGCCUUCCUCUAAGGGGCAGAGUCAGGGUGUACAGAUGCACCUGCUCAGAAAGGGAGACCCGCAGCAGUGCCCAAGGCGUCUGGAACGGCUUCCCUUGUAGCUGCUGGGAGCACAUCCCAUGGCCGAUCACUGCUGAGCUGCCGGGCCCAAAGGAGACCUCUGGUUGGCUUGGGGUUCACUCUCAAGGUUUGAGCAAGGAUAACCCAGAGAAAUGUUAUGUGUCUUCUAGUGUUAAAACAAGAUUAGUUCUUCAAAAAGUUAAACACAGAAGGGCGCCUGGGUGGCUGUCGGUUGAGCAUCCGACUUGGGCUCAGGUCAUGAUCUCACGGUCUGUGAG